UACAGUUCCCGCCACAGAAGUUUAUCUCCAGAAGACAGGGAUAGGGAUGCAGAGCGUGACAGGUCUCCAUCUCCCAGAGAGAGAAGAUACUCUGAUGACAGCAGGUAUGAGGAAUAUUCAAGAAGGGACUACUAUGAUGAUAGAAUUUCAGAUGGAAGAAGGAUGGAAAGAGAGCGAGACAGACACUAUGAGAAAUGGGGGGAGAGAGACUCUGAUCGAAG